rfam:Flavobacterium succinicans strain DD5b FLB_contig000070, whole genome shotgun sequence.
UUCUAGCCCCGGUAGGAGCGGCAUCCUUUGUUGCCGGGGUUCGGCAGCAAAGAUACAGCGGAUGACGGGACUUUGC